CGCCUUUUUAACAAAAACAUGUCCUUUUGAAUAUAUUUAAGGUCUAACCUGCCCAAUGAGGAUUUAAAUGGCCGCAGUAUUUUGACUGUGCAAAGGUAGCAUAAUUAUUAGUUUUUUAAUUGAAAGCUUGUAUGAAGGGUUGGACGAGAUAAAAUCUGUCUUUAUUUAAAUUAAAAUAGAAUUUAACUUUUAAGUCAAAAGGCUUAAAUUUUUAUAAAAGACGAGAAGACCCUAUAGAUCUUUAUUUAAUUAAUAUUUUGAUAAUUUAAGAUUAUUUUAAUUUAAAAUUUUAAUUGAAUUUUAUUGGGGUAAUAUAAAGAUUAAAAAAAUUCUUUUUAUUUAUAACAUUAAUUUAUGAAUAUAUGAUCCAAUAUUAUUGAUUAUAAGAUUAAGUUACCUUAGGGAUAACAGCGUAAUUUUUUUGGAGAGCUCAUAUCGAUAAAAAAGUUUGCGA
rnacentral:rRNA from 1 species